rnacentral:rRNA from 1 species
GAUCACGGGAGACACACUGCGGGUGCUAAGGUCCGCAGUGGAAAGGGAAACAGCCCAGACCGCCAACUAAGGACCCAAAGUCAUAGCUAAGUGGGAAACGAAGUGGGAAGUCCCAGACAGCCAGGAGGUUGGCUUAGAAGCAGCCACCCUUUAAAGAAAGCGUAAUAGCUCACUGGACGAGUCGGCCUGCACGUAAGAUUUAACGGGGCUAAGCUAUGCACUGAAGUUGCGGAAUAUAUUUAGUAUAUUG